CCCGCUUGAAGUUCCAACUGCUCCGGACCCACUACCCUGUGCCUGCCCUUGAGGCCAAGCCAUCACACUACGGAACUCGUCCAUAGUUCACCUGUGCACUGGUGGCUAGUCAUAAAGUCCUACAAUCAUCUCGGCAGUGGCCACCUGCCCUCUGCAAAGGGACUCCAUCCUUGCCUCCAUCAUAGACAUGUACAUGUCUCUCAUCUGAAAAGGCUCAGGCUGUUGUGCCGGUGCAUCUGCAGGCUCAUCCUCCUGCUAUGCUGCCCACCUAGGACGUCUCCUAGGAACUGCUCCGACUGGUUCGUCACCUCCACAAUAUUGACGAAAAUAUGAGGCAUCAAUAGCUCUCCUCGGCCUCUCAAAGGGUGGAACUGCGAUAUCCACUCCUACCUGCUGGCAUAGGUAUGUAAUCAGGGACGAAUGUCCCAGUGGU
rnacentral:lncRNA from 1 species